AAAGCGGGCGGAGAGAGGAGCCGCUGCCAGCAUCCGCUAAGAGGCAGCUCGCACGUGGGCGGGCUCGCAGCCUGCCGCGCUACCUGACCGGGCCUGGCACCCCCAGCGUGGCGCAGCCGCCCAGGAAACCCAGCCUGAGCUCCCCUUGGUAGCGCUCUCCUUCUUCCCGGGCGCAGGCCUGGCCCGCACACACCUUUCCAGCCGCCACCACCCCCGCCAUGCUUCCAGAGGCCGGAAAAACAAGGAAGACGACCCCCUGAAAUUGAAGGAAAAAAUGCAACUUAGAGAAAAAGCAAGCCAUAUCAUCAGAACUUGGAUUGCUCUGCACCAUUUUUGAUGUCUGAUGGAGGACUACAAAUGGAGUCACUAAAAGGUAAUCAAGAAGUCACCCCUGAUCAUCCUCAAGAGGUUUUAUCCUAUUUAAGAAACUUCAAUCUCUUCCAUUUAAGUCUCUCCUUAACUACUGUGUUAGUCAGCGCACCGUGGAAAACCAAAUUCCUUGAUUCUUGUGUGCUAUAGCGGAUCAAUUGACAUGUCUCAUCUUGCUGUGGUUUGAAAGUGUCCCCUCCAAAAUUCAGGUGUUACCAAUGUGGUGGUGUUGAGAGGUGGGCUGUUUGAGAGAUGAUUGGGAUGUGAGGGCUUUUCCUUCAUGAAUAAGAUUGGACGCCUUUGUAAAAUGACUUGAUGGAGAGUUUGUCACUUUUUAGCUUGCCCUUCUGCUUUCUGCCAUGUGAGGAUGAAGCAAGAAGCCACUCACAAGACACCAGGUGCAGUAAAUAAGGAUCAUCAUUAUUCAUGCUCAGAGAUGAGUGGAUUGAUUAAGAUAUUCCAAAACUGCAGAUAAUCCAAAAUGCUUUUAUAUUUGUCCUAUUGUUUGAAUUUUUUUUCAUCAAUAGAAGAGAUAUCGUCACUCCCAUGUUCAUUGCAGCAUCACUCACCAUAGCCAAGAUAUGGCAUCAACUUAAGUAUCCACCAAAAGAUGAAUGGAUUAAAAAAAAAUACUAUUCUGCCUUUAAAAAGAAGAAAAUCCUGUCAUUUGGGACAAUGUAGAUGAACCUGGAGAAUAUUUUGUGAAGUGAAGUAAGGCAGGCACAGAAAGACAAGUACUGCAUGAUCUCACUUACAUGUGUAAUGUGAAAAAGUCAAACUCACAGCAGCAGAGAGUGGAGUUGUGGUUACCAGGAACUACAGGGGAGAAGGGAGAUUGGAGAGAUGUUUAUUAAAAGAUACAAAAUUUUGGUUAGACAGAAGGACUAUGUUCAAGAGAUCUAUUGUAUAUCAUGGUGACUACAGUUAAUAUCAAUAUAUUGUAUAUUUGAAAGUUUCUAAGAAAGUAGAUUUUGAGUGUUCUUACCACAAAUAAAUGAUAAGUAUGUGAGGUAGUAUACACUUCAAUUAACUUGAAUUAUCCAUUCCACAACACAUACAUAUUUCAA